rnacentral:rRNA from 1 species
CCUACGGGUGGCAGCAGUGAGGAAUAUUGGUCAAUGGACGAGAGUCUGACCCAGCCACGUAGCGUGAAGGAUGACUGCCCUCUGGGUUGUAAACUUCUUUUAUAUGGGAAUAAAAUGUUCCACGUGUGUGAUUUUGUAUGUACCAUAUGAAUAAGGAUCGGCUAACUUCGUUCCAGCAGCCGCGGUAAUACGGUGGAUCCGAGCGUUAUCCGGUUUUAUUGGGUGUAAAGGGAGCGUAGGUGGGUUGUUAAGUCAGUUGUGAAAGGUUGGGGCUCAACCGUAAAAUUGCAGUUGAAACUGGAAGUCUUGAGUACAGGAGAGGUGUGCAGAAUUCGUGGUGUAGCGGUGAAAUGCGUAGAUAUCAGGAAGAACUCCGAUUGCGAAGGCAGCUCACUGGACUGCAACUGACGCUGAGGCGCGAAAGUGUGGGUAGCAAACAGGAUUAGAUACCCGGGUAGUC